GUAAGAAAGACAUUGAGUCCCUGGAGCGUGUUCAGAGGAGGGCAACAAAGCUGGUGAGGGGUCUGGAGCACAGGCCUUAUGAAGAGCGGCUGAAGGAGCUGGGAUUGUUCAGUCUAGAGAAGAGGAGGCUCAGGGGAGACCUUAUUGCUCUCUAUAACUACCUGAAGGGAGGUUGUAGUGAGCUGGGGGUCAGCCUCUUCUCUCGUGUGACUAGUGAUAGGACUAGAGGGAAUGGCUUCAAGCUGUGCCAGGGAAGGUUCAGGCUGGCCGUUAGGAAAUACUACUUCUCUGAAAGGGUGGUCAGGCACUGGAAUGGGCUGCCCAGAGAGGUAGUGGAGUCACCGAGCCUGGUGGUGUUCAAAGAGCGUUUGGAUGUUGUGUUGAGGGACAUGGUUUAGUGAGAACCAUUGGUGAAGGGCGAAUGGUUGGACUGGAUGAUCCUGUGGGUCUUUUCCAACCUUAGCGAUUCUAUGAUUCUAUGAU
rnacentral:lncRNA from 1 species